GACGAACGCUGGCGGCGUGCCUAAUACAUGCAAGUCGAGCGGAGUUAGACCUUCGGGUUUAAUUUAGCGGCGGACGGGUGAGUAACACGUAGGUAACCUGCCUAACAGACUGGGAUAACUACCGGAAACGGUAGCUAAGACCGGAUACGACCAUUUGAGGGCAUCCUUAGAUGGUGAAAAGCGGAGUAAUCUGCUACUGAUAGAUGGACCUGCGGCGCAUUAGCUAGUUGGUGAGGUAGUGGCUCACCAAGGCGACGAUGCGUAGCCGACCUGAGAGGGUGAACGGCCACACUGGGACUGAGACACGGCCCAGACUCCUACGGGUGGCUG
rnacentral:rRNA from 1 species